rnacentral:misc_RNA from 1 species
GAUGAAGACGCAGCGAAAUGCGAUACUUGGUGUGAAUUGCAGAAUCCCGUGAACCAUCGAGUCUUUGAACGCAAGUUGCGCCUCAAGCCAUUAGGUUGAGGGCACGUCUGCCUGGGCGUCACAUAUCGUUGCCUGAUGCCAGUUUCCUCGUGAUGGGUGACUGUGCAGGGCGAAUGAUGGCUUCCCGUGAGCAUUGUUGCCUCAUGGUUGGUUGAAAAUUGAGUCCUUGGUAGGGAGCGCCGUGAUAGAUGGUGGUUGAGUGACGAACGAGACCCAAUCAUGUGAGACCCCUACCGAAUUUGGCCUUCAUGACCCACAUGCGUCUUUGGAACGCUCAUGACGAGACCUCAGGUCAGGCGGGGCUACCCGCUGAGUUUAAGCAUAUCAAUAAGCGGAGGA